GGUUCGCAAGAGAGGCACUGCCACUGCUACCGCCAUGGUUUUCUGCACUGUGUGACGAUACACCUAGUCACGGUGGUGGUUUGAGAAUCGCGGGCACGGGUGAUGAAGCGUCCGAGACGUUGAUUGGUCGAGAGGCUCCCUUCCGGUUUAGACUACCAUAACGAAAUAUUCAAGAUGGUAGAACAUUUUUAAACAAUUCGUAAGUAGAUUCAACAUUAAUUUA